UUUUCUUUUUCUUUUUCUUUUUCCAUCAAUUGCAGUAGUGUUAGUUUGCCUUUGCAACUUAAAUCUUGUCGAUCAAGAUCGGAUUGCUCUUCUGUGUCUUCACCCCUGCAUAAUUUAUCCUCUCUCCAGCUGCAACUUGACACUUCACUGCUGAAAUCUGCUUCCUUCUUUCCCUUUUUCCCUUUCUUUACAGAAAGCAAUUUCUUAGGCACCAAUUUCUUGAUGAAUUUUCUUCUGAUUUUACAACUCUGGCUAUGCUCUUUUCCACAAAUCAAAGCUCCCCCUUCAUCGUUCUUUGCCUCCAGAGCUUCAUCCACGUUAUCCCAGCUCUUAUCAUAAUUCAAUAAAUCAUAAAUUGUUGGAUUUUCUAUUCUCCCAUUUGCUUCAUCUCGUCCAACCAUAUUAGGCGUUGGCUCCACUACAUGAAUUUCCUUGACGGGAGGGUUGGGUUCAAGGUUCUCAGCCAAAUCACAAUAAUCAUACGCACUAUCAUCUUUCUCUGCAUUGAUCGAUGCUUUCUUGGAAACCCAUAAAUCCUUCUUAAGUCGAAAUAAAGAAACAACCCUUCGAUUUAAAAGUAGCAAGACCAAUAAGCAUGUUUUCAACAAACACAAAAGAUGUUUCCCAUAAUAUUCAAGAAAGAUGAGAAGAGAAGUGGACAUUGUUAUCCCAAUAGCAAGUCUUGUCGUGCUCAAAGCCAAGAUCACCACAACAAACAUCUUUAAAACUAAAAAUAAGAAGCGUUUAUCUUUUCCAUUCGAGCCAAGAUUACCAUCGUCAACAUCACCACACUCCUUAACACCCUGAUUAUAAUCAAGAUUUCGAUCUUCACCCACCAAAACUUCACAUCUAUUGACAUUUUUACCCUGACCCUCCAAAUUCUCCGGGCUUUGACGCUUUUUAUUGAUAUUAACAGGCUCCACCGACAACUCUCUAGUGUUCGCCAAGGGUAUGGUAUCGGAGAUGACAAGCUCCUCAACCUCGCGCAGCUGAUUAUGCUGCUGCUGACGUUGCUGUUGCUGUUGCUGUUGCU
rnacentral:misc_RNA from 1 species